UGCUAUCAGAAUUUCAGCUCAUGCUUUUGGGUUGUUCCCCUGAUUCCUAUUCCUCCUAAUGGGUUGGCUUUCCAGAAUUUAACUGCUUUUAUGAACCAAGAGCUACAGAAAUGAGAGAAUCUGACAACAUUGCUGGGAAAAAAUCAUGCUAACAGAUAUGGGACCAAACACAUGGCCCUGCUUCACUCCAUUGGCGAUUGGGAAAAUGUGAGAGCAUCAUCCGUUAUCCAAAAUCGGGGGAAGCAUGCCAUCAUGAAAUUGGCAUACAAUACUUGGAGAAGAUUUGCAGAUACUAUUGGUGAGCAGUUAUGACAAAAUCCUCCACCUGCCCUCACCUACUCCCUUUGAACCAUUAAACCAGGUGCAAGUUCCAGACCAGUAUUGAAUCAUUUCCUGGGAGAUUUGCCAUUGCUCUUGGCGGAAGAAUAUCACUCUACUACUCAAUGACACCAUUUUACUACCUCUUACCAAAUUAUUCUUCUUUGGUCACCACUUUGGUAUAUGAGUUAUAAACAACUAUUAAAAUAUCCUAUUAGAAUAAUCUAUCUCGGGGCAGCUAGGUGGCACAAUGGAUAGAGCACUGGAA